GGCGCUGGUGGAGCGUGGCGCUGGGAUUCAUCGGCACCGGCCUGCUGGUGGCUGUGAUGGGCUGGUUCGAGACCAGCCUGCGCCGCCA
rnacentral:tRNA from 1 species